rnacentral:ncRNA from 1 species
AUCCCGUGCAUAUCCGGGCAUAGAUAUGCUUCCUCCCUGUUGGACUGACCCGAGCUUUGCUCGGAUCUUUUU